UACGUAGGGGGCAAGCGUUGUCCGGAUUUAUUGGGCGUAAAGAGCUCGUAGGUGGUUCGGUAAGUCGGAUGUGAAAUCUCCAGGCUCAACCUGGAGGGGUCAUUCGAUACUGCCGUGACUAGAGGUCGGUAGGGGAGUGUGGAAUUCCUGGUGGAGCGGUGAAAUGCGCAGAUAUCGGGAAGAACACCCGUGGCGAAGGCGGCACUCUGGGACGGUACUGGACGCUGAGGCACGAAAGCGUGGG
rnacentral:rRNA from 1 species